CUUCACUACUAAAUGAAGGAUAUGAGCUGAGCAACGCACGGCUACAAAGCUACCAUCACGGAGAGCCUUCACCAUGUUUGCUGCUCCGUCAGUCACCACAAAACCCAUCUGUGUGUUUGCCUGCUGUCCUACCCACUGCACCACCAUCUUUUUUAGUGCCUGCAAAAUAUUUGCUGAGUUAUGUUGUUCAUCCAUCAUCUCAGCAUGGAGGAGGAAUGAGCAGUGCUUUCUUUCUGUGCAUGACGUGGUGACAUCUCCUGACACCUUGGGCUGCCACCAAUGUCCUGUCAAGGACAGGAAAGCAUGCUGGCCACUAGGAGCACUCCACAAAUCAGUUGUGAAGUGCACUGACUGGCCACCAGCCUUUGCCAGAUGCUCCUUCAACACCGCAACACAGGAACGGUAG